rnacentral:tRNA from 1 species
GAGAGUAUAGCUCACGUGGCAGAGCGCAUGCUUUGCAUGCAUGAGGUCCAGGGUUCAAUCCCCGGUACCUCCU